CAAGUCGAACGAUGAACCACUUCGGUGGGGAUUAGUGGCGAACGGGUGAGUAACACGUGGGCAAUCUGCCCUGCACUCUGGGACAAGCCCUGGAAACGGGGUCUAAUACCGGAUACGAGCCUCCUCCGCAUGGUGGGGGUUGGAAAGCUCCGGCGGUGCAGGAUGAGCCCGCGGCCUAUCAGCUUGUUGGUGAGGUAACGGCUCACCAAGGCGACGACGGGUAGCCGGCCUGAGAGGGCGACCGGCCACACUGGGACUGAGACACGGCCCAGACUCCUACGGGAGGCAGCAGUGGGGAAUAUUGCACAAUGGGCGAAAGCCUGAUGCAGCGACGCCGCGUGAGGGAUGAAGGCCUUCGGGUUGUAAACCUCUUUCAGCAGGGAAGAAGCGAAAGUGACGGUACCUGCAGAAGAAGCGCCGGCUAACUACGUGCCAGCAGCCGGGGGUAAUUCCA
rnacentral:rRNA from 1 species